AAAUGGGAACGCGGUUCGAAUACUGAAAACUUUGAUACAAUGAAUAAAAAUUUACUUUCGAAUUCCGGCGAUAAGGAUACAAUAGUGGCUAACUCAAUUGUUACUUCGUACGAAAAUGAGCCUUUAGAGAUUUUGGGUCGAAGAAGACGCAGAUGGCUUAGAACCUCAAACAUUUGAAGCGAAGUUUAAUUAGAUACUUGAGAGGCUGGGACUACUUUACAUAAAGUGGUAUUCGUUGGGAGCAUUGAAAAAAUUAGCUAUGUUACUCUUCACGAAGAGUGCACCGUUAUGACAUUGACACAUGCUGCUGUCUUGAAGAAUGUUGGCCAACCUCAGCGAGAUCAAGACGGAAGCGUCGUAGAAUACAAGAAAAUGAGCUAGUACAUUUUAUUUUCUAAUUUUAUUUUGUAAGGAAAGAUCAAAAUCUUGCCAUGAAUCCGCAUCUUUAUCUUGUGUUGUCUAUUGUGAUCCUUUACAAUUUGGUUGUAUUAAAUCAAAAUAAAUAAUUAACAAAUAUACAUUUACAGCUUUGAAA